AGAUGUGAGGACGAUCUGGCUGUGACAUCUGUCACCCCAUUGUUCGCCAGGGUUGAUUCAGCUGAUCUGGCUGGCUAGGCAGGUGUCCCCUUCCUCCCUCACUGCUCCAAGUGUGUCUGUCCCGAAGCUGUGCACUCAGUCAAAGAGGAUGCCCUUCCCCAAAUAGAGAUGGACAGACUUUGGUCGAGGGGUAUAUGAGGAGCUGGGCUCACCUGCUGGAACCUCCAAACAAGUUCUUAACUCAGGGCACAAUGAGAGCUAGGCAUAUGCUCUACUCUGAGUCACCUCCCUGACCCUGGAAGACCAGUGUUAGAAUGUUAGAAGAG
ensembl:misc_RNA 7SK 7SK RNA